CUUGAUGGCCAUUAUGAGCUGUGUCUGGAGAGCUUGGACAUGAAUUUAUGUAUUUGUGCAGAAAACUGUGCCCAUAAACUUCAGCUCCACUUCAUAGAAGGGUUUGAGAGGCAAAGGUAGCUUGCUUUCUGGGUGAUGAUCCAGAUAAAAAUGGUCCAAGGAUCUGGUGGUUAAGAACUUGAGGAGUACAGAUUUUGGGACACUCAGGACCAGGAGGGCUACUGGUGUCACUCUGCAAAGAGAAAGAGAUAAUGCUGCCUGCUUCCUAUUUACAAUAUCAUCUGAAAGUGUGAAAAGUGUUCACAUGGAACUUUGUAGCCAGUGUUGCCAGGUAUUUACAUGCCAGAUAUGCUCAACAUUCGUAUGCCUCUUCGUGCUUCAUGCUGACCACCUUUCCAGAAAGCAUUCUUUCAUACUGAAGAUACUUAUUAAAACAAAUUAAUUUAAUUUGUGA